rnacentral:lncRNA from 1 species
UUUAUACAUUUCGUAAUGUCAAAAAAAUAGUCGAUACACUUUACCAAGCGACCGUGGUUGAACCACGGGAUCGAGGGGUGCCUAACACCUUCCCCUCGGUCAACAAAAUUUCUUAGCCGGAAUCUCUGUUCGCAAACCGGUUUAAGAGUCAAAUGGUUUCGAAAAGGAUUUUCCAAAGGUGACUUGGCACACCGGAUUAUGCCAAGUGGCGACUCUGAAUAAAAAAUGCAAAUAAUCUUUUUUUUCGAAACAAAUUUUCAUUUCUUGUCACUUAAAAUA